CUUUCAUUGGACGAGUUGGUUAAGUCGCCGAUAUUGCAAUCGGAAAUGGCGGGUUCGAGUCCCGUAUGAAAAA
rnacentral:tRNA from 1 species